UACGUGCCAGCAGCCGCGNUAAUACGUAGGGUGCGAGCGUUAAUNGGAAUUACUGGGCGUAAAGCGGGCGCAGACGGUUACUUAAGCAGGAUGUGAANUCCCCGGGCUCAACCUGGGAACUGCGUUNUGAACUGGGUGACUAGAGUGUGUCAGAGGGAGGUAGAAUUCCACGUGUAGCAGUGAAAUGCGUAGAGAUGUGGAGGAAUACCGAUGGCGAAGGCAGCCUCCUGGGAUAACACUGACGUUCAUGCCCGAAAGCGUGGGUAGCAAACAGGAUUAGAUACCCUGGUAGUNCACGCCCUAAACGAUGUCGAUUAGCUGUUGGGCAGCAUGACUGCUUAGUAGCGAAGCUAACGCGUGAAAUCGACCGCCUGGGGAGUACGGUCGCAAGAUUAAAACUCAAAGGAAUUGACGGGGACCCGCACAAGCGGUGGAUGAUGUGGAUUAAUUCGAUGCGACGCGAAGAACCUUACCUGGUCUUGACAUGUACGGAACCCUCCAGAGACGGAGGGGUGCCUUCGGGAGCCGUAACACAGGUGCUGCAUGGCUGUCGUCAGCUCGUGUCGUGAGAUGUUGGGUUAAGUCCCGCAACGAGCGCAACCCUUGUCAUUAGUUGCCAUCAUUAAGUUGGGCACUCUAAUGAGACUGCCGGUGACAAGCCGGAGGAAGGUGGGGAUGACGUCAAGUCCUCAUGGCCCUUAUGACCAGGGCUUCACACGUCAUACAAUGGUCGGUACAGAGGGUAGCCAAGCCGCGAGGUGGAGCCAAUCUCACAAAACCGAUCGUAGUCCGGAUUGCACUCUGCAACUCGAGUGCAUGAAGUCGGAAUCGCUAGUAAUCGCAGGUCAGCAUACUGCGGUGAAUACGUUCCCGGGUCUUGUACACACCGCCCGUCACACCAUGGGAGUGGGGGAUACCAGAAGUAGGUAGGGUAA
rnacentral:rRNA from 1 species